AGUGAACGCUGGCGGUAGGCCUAACACAUGCAAGUCGAACGGCAGCACAGUCAGAGCUUGCUCUUACGGGUGGCGAGUGGCGGACGGGUGAGGAAUACAUCGGAAUCUACUUUUUCGUGGGGGAUAACGUAGGGAAACUUACGCUAAUACCGCAUACGACCUACGGGUGAAAGCAGGGGAUCUUCGGACCUUGCGCGAUUGAAUGAGCCGAUGUCGGAUUAGCUAGUUGGCGGGGUAAAGGCCCACCAAGGCGACGAUCCGUAGCUGGUCUGAGAGGAUGAUCAGCCACACUGGAACUGAGACACGGUCCAGACUCCUACGGGAGGCAGCAGUAGGGAAUAUUGGACAAUGGGCGCAAGCCUGAUCCAGCCAUACCGCGUGGGUGAAGAAGGCCUUCGGGUUGUAAAGCCCUUUUGUUGGGAAAGAAAAGCAGCAGGUUAAUACCCCGCUGUUCUGACGGUACCCAAAGAAUAAGCACCGGCUAACUUCGUG
rnacentral:rRNA from 1 species